rnacentral:rRNA from 1 species
UGGCGGCGUGCCUAACACACGCAAGUCGAACGAGGUCCAUGCAGUGGCAACACUGCGGAAGACCUAGUGGCGAACGGGUGAGUAACACGUGAGGAACCUGCCCCGAAGACCGGGAUAACCCUCCGAAAGGAGAGCUAAUACCGGAUACCCCACUUGAUCACAUGAUCGGGUGAGGAAAUGGAUUCCGCUUCGGGAGGGCCUCGCGGCCUAUCAGCUUGUUGGUGGGGUAACGGCCCACCAAGGCAUCGACGGGUAGCUGGUCUGAGAGGACGAUCAGCCACACUGGGACUGAGACACGGCCCAGACUCCUACGGGAGGCAGCAGGUGGGGAAUCUUGCGCAAGUGGGACGAAAGCCUGACGCAGCAACGCCGCGUGGGGAUGAAGGCUCUCGGGUUGUAAACCCCUUUCAGCAGGGACGAAUCAAGACGGUACCUGCAGAAGAAGCCCCGGCUAACUACGUG